rnacentral:rRNA from 1 species
UACGGAGGGUGCAAGCGUUAUCCGGAUUUAUUGGGUUUAAAGGGUCCGCAGGCGGGAUUCUAAGUCAGUGGUGAAAGCCUACAGCUUAACUGUAGAACUGCCAUUGAAACUGGAAUUCUUGAGUGUGGUUGAAGUAGACGGAAUAUGUCAUGUAGCGGUGAAAUGCAUAGAUAUGACAUAGAACACCAAUUGCGUAGGCAGUUUACUAAACCAUUACUGACGCUCAUGGACGAAAGUGUGGGGAGCGAAC